rnacentral:rRNA from 1 species
UACGUAGGGGGCGAGCGUUGUCCGAAGUUACUGGGCGUAAAGCGCGCGUAGGCGGCUUCUUAAGUCUGAGGUGAAAGGUUCAACGCUUAACGUGAACAGUGCCUUGGAUACUGGGGAGCUUGAGUAUGGGAGAGGGCAGUGGAAUGGCUGGUGUAGCGGUGAAAUGCGUAGAUAUCAGUCGGAACACCCAUGGCGAAGGCAGCUGCCUGGCCUAAUACUGACGCUGAGGUGCGAAAGCGUGGGGAGCGAACGGG